rnacentral:rRNA from 1 species
UACGUAGGGUGCGAGCGUUGUCCGGAAUUACUGGGCGUAAAGAGUUCGUAGGCGGUUUGUCGCGUCGUUCGUGAAAACUUGGGGCUUAACUCCAAGCGUGCGGGCGAUACGGGCAGACUUGAGUACUACAGGGGAGACUGGAAUUCCUGGUGUAGCGGUGAAAUGCGCAGAUAUCAGGAGGAACACCGGUGGCGAAGGCGGGUCUCUGGGUAGUAACUGACGUUGAGGAACGAAAGCGUGGGUAGCGAACAGG